UAUCAGCUUAAGUCAACCGACUUGAUGGCAUCAGCAAAUGGCUUUCCUGCCAGUUUCUACAGCGAGCCUGGGGUGCUCGGCCUCUUGUCCAAUGGUAUCAGUGCAUUUCUGGUGCUCCUCCAGAACUUCAAUGGUGCCAGAAGUGGGAUUCCAGCGUUCGGAGUUGAGAACAUCCUUGCAGGUGUUCACCUGAUUCUAAUUGGUGGAGUGUGCCAGUUAAUCGCUGGCUUCCUUUCCUUCCGUAAAUAUGACCAUCUCAGUGGCACAUCCUUCAUUGCUUAUGCAGCUCUUUGGGGAAGUUAUGGAGCCACGAGAAUAUUUAUAGGAGCCUACCAAGAAGGUCCUAUUAAUUCCUCAACUUUAGUAAAUGUUUCACUCGACAACUUAAUCACAAACUCCACCGCUACCAAUGCAACCACUGUUCCUAAAUUCAUCGGUGAAGCCGCCAUAGCUGGUUUGGUUCCCUACAUCUUCCUCUCCUUGCUUCUGGCGUUCUGCUCGGCCACAGUGAACUACAUCAUGCCCUUUGUGUUUGGAGCCAUCACCCUCACGUUGGUGUUUGAAGCCGUCGGACUCGUAGGUAGCUGGGCUCUGGUGGUCUCUGGAGUUCUGGAGCUCCUCAUUUUGAUCUUCGCCAUCUAUGGCUCAGCAGCUUUGCUCAUCAAAGGUCUGGCCCAACGCUACGUCCUCAAGGGCUUCGGUAACCCUCUCUUCAACGUUCUGCUCCUCGGGACCACCAAUACCGGCAGCUCCCAGAGUUUAGGCCAAGAGAAGAAGAAAAACACCAAAUACGCCGAACCCAUGGCCUUGGGCUUCUUCUGCGACACCAUCUCAGCCUUCAUCUUCGCCUUCUACGCUUUCGGCUACUUCCCAACGCUCACGCUAGGUGCCAUCUGGAUCACCAUCAACUCCGCCACCCAACUUCUCUCCAGUUAUUACGCUUACCUGCGCCAAGACUGCUACCACGCCACCAAAUUCGCCCUGCACUGCACCUACUGGCUUGUGAAGACCUGGGAAGAGUAUGUGGUGUCUGUUGUGAUUGGACGAAGCGAAGAAGCCACCGGAAGACCGGCCAUGGUGGGAGACUGGUUCUUCCUGGCAGCAUCCUUGGUUCUCAUUAUCGCAUGCCUGAACAUGGACACCGUGGAACUCCUCCACAAUGCCAUUUUCUUCCUGCUAACCAUCUCAACAAUCUCCCAGAUCCCUCUUCACAGGUACUACAUCUUCUUCGGCGUGAUCUGUGCCAUCUUCACUGCUCUCUCGCUGUACGGCACAUUCGCUCGCAUGAUCAACACCAUCGCUGAGAAGUCUCUGAUUCCGGUCGGACCUCAACCGGUCUCCACCGACCGACUCGAGAAUGGUCUAGGCUGCAGGAGAAAGUCUCUGAAGGAACAGACCAACGGAAAAGGUUCCCAACUACCAGAUGCUCUGUUUUACUUCACCAAUGGAGUGGCAGCGCUCUCAGCCAUCCACAUCAACCACCCCCUCCCUGGCUUUCUAGAGCUGACCGUACCCUGGGUGCUCAUCCCAGGGGCCAUCAUCCAGGCCUACGUCAGUCGACUUCAGGUUCAAGGCGGAAAGAGGUUUGGCUCGGUCAUCCCUUCCUUCUACGCCGCCAUUUGGGCCACAUGGACCUGGUUUAGAUUUGGAGGUAUGUGCAUGUGAUUUUUAAUUUAUAUAAACUAACUUUGUACAACUACUUUAUAUACAGCUCUGGAAAAAAU
ensembl:lncRNA